rnacentral:rRNA from 1 species
UACGAAAGGUGCGAGCGUUACUCGGAAUCACUGGGCGUAAAGCGCGCGUAGGUGGACUUGUAGGUCGGUUGUGAAAUACCUGGGCUCAACCCAGGAGGGGCAGCCGAAACCACAAGUCUUGAAUACCUGAGAGGGUGGGGGAAUACCUGGUGGAGAAGUGAAAUUCGUAGAGAUCAGGUGGAACACCGGAGGCGAAGGCGCCUGCCUGGCAGUGUAUUGACGCUGAAGUGCGAAAGUGCGGGGAGCAAACAGG